GACGAACGCUGGCGGCGUGCCUAAUACAUGCAAGUAGAACGCUGAAGAGAGGAGCUUGCUCUUCUUGGAUGAGUUGCGAACGGGUGAGUAACGCGUAGGUAACCUGCCUUGUAGCGGGGGAUAACUAUUGGAAACGAUAGCUAAUACCGCAUAACAAUGGAUGACACAUGUCAUUUAUUUGAAAGGGGCAAUUGCUCCACUACAAGAUGGACCUGCGUUGUAUUAGCUAGUAGGUGAGGUAAUGGCUCACCUAGGCGGCGAUACAUAGCCGACCUGAGAGGGAGAAUGGCCCCACUGGGACCGAGGCACGGCCCAGGCUCCUUAGGGGGGGAGCAGUAGGGAAUCUUCGGCAAUGGGGGCAACCCUGACCGAGCAACGCCGCGUGAGUGGAGGAGGGUUUCGGGUCGGAAAGGUCUGUUGUAAGUCAAGAACGGGUGUGAGAGUGGAAAGUUCACACUGUGACGGUAGCUUAACAGAAAGGGACGGCUAACUACGUG
rnacentral:rRNA from 1 species